rnacentral:rRNA from 1 species
GCAUAUCAAUAAGCGGAGGAAAAGAAACCAACAGGGAUUGCCCUAGUAACGGCGAGUGAAGCGGCAACAGCUCAAAUUUGAAAUCUGGCUCUUUCAGGGUCCGAGUUGUAAUUUGCAGAGGGCGCUUUGGCGUUGGCAGCGGUCCAAGUUCCUUGGAACAGGACGUCACAGAGGGUGAGAAUCCCGUACGUGGUCGCUGGCCUUCGCCGUGUAAAGCCCCUUCGACGAGUCGAGUUGUUUGGGAAUGCAGCUCUAAAUGGGAGGUAAAUUUCUUCUAAAGCUAAAUACUGGCCAGAGACCGAUAGCGCACAAGUAGAGUGAUCGAAAGAUGAAAAGCACUUUGGAAAGAGAGUCAAAUAGCACGUGAAAUUGUUGAAAGGGAAGCGCUUGCAGCCAGACUUGCCUGUAGUUGCUCAUCCGGGCUUUUGCCCGGUGCACUCUUCUAUAGGCAGGCCAGCAUCAGUUUGGGCGGUUGGAUAAAGGUCUCUGUCAUGUACCUCCUUUCGGGGAGGCCUUAUAGGGGAGACGACAUGCAACCAGCCUGGACUGAGGUCCGCGCAUUUGCUAGGAUGCUGGCGUAAUGGCUGUAAGCGGCCCGUCUUGAAACACGGACCAAGGAGUCUAACAUCUAUGCGAGUGUUUGGGUGUCAAGCCCGAACGCGUAAUGAAAGUGAACGGAGGUGGGAACCCUUUAGGGCGCACCAUCGACCGAUCCUGAUGUCUUCGGAUGGAUUUGAGUAAGAGCAUGGCUGUUGGGACCCGAAAGAUGGUGAACUAUGCUUGAAUAGGGUGAAGCCAGAGGAAACUCUGGUGGAGGCUCGCAGCGGUUCUGACGUGCAAAUCGAUCGUCAAAUUUGGGGCAUAGGGGCGAAAGACUAAUCGAACUAUCUAGUAGCUGGUUCCUGCCGA